AUUUUUUACAGAAAAAACAAACCACUGUACUGCAUGAAUCUUACAUUCUUAAGAAGUUGCUCCCCACUUCUACCCAUUCUCUCAACAUGCACACUGUACACAUCAGCUCCAUGCCACAUCAGCGUUCAUUUUUUUAUUUUUUAUUUUUGCCAAGAGUAGCCAUCUCCCGAGCCUUAACUACCUAGAAAAAAUAAAAGAGAAUAAUAUCUUUCCCUGCAACCGACCGAACAAUUAUUACUCGAUCUCUAUUCCUCCCCGUCUCUUCGUUACUCCAAUCUCAUCCCUUCCCCUUCUCUCGGCCCUUCCCUCGAUUUCCUUCGCCGCCGUUCACAGCAGCCCCCGCAGCUAUGGUUGUUCUCAUCUAUGUUCAGAUCCAAAAAUACGCCAAUUUUCUUCCCCGGCUACAGUAGGCCGCGGUGGCUGGGAGCUCCUCUGACAGGAUGGCGGUCCAGCUUGCCUCCACGGCUCUCUGGGAUUCUAUCGGGCCAGGCUCCCCUUGCUGUUGUGGUGCCAUGCAUCUACGAGACGGUGAUCCCUCACCUCCCCUCUGUAUCUCCGUUUUGUACAAGGUAGCUCUGGUGUUGCGAGGGCUAUGAUUCCAACCAGAUUUCGACCAGGCGCUGGUGAGAUUGGACUCCGAAGUAGGCUUUCGUUGUCGUCUAUCUGGUGCAACACCAGACUGUGGUUCAAAUCCGCCGAUGAGAGGCACCUCCACGAGACUACUCUCGCGUCUCUACCGACCGCACCGCCUCGAACGCCCGCUGAUCCGUCCACCUGCGCUGGCGUGCCAGACACUGACCGGAUCCUUCCUAUGGUCAAAUGCUUGCCUUCUCAUCUUCUCCAAUAACUGAGACCAAUGGAGAUAUCUGAAACUGUCGGUACACACUCAAUCGGCACCUGAGGAGACACGCAAUCGACUUUACCUUAUCCUCCUUGAUACACAUCUAGCCAGUAAGUUCCUUAUCUAGCAUCUGCACAGAUUCUCUUAACUCUGCUGAACUUGCAUAUAGCACACACAACCGGUGUCCUAAUCUCCUCCAUGUUAGUACAUGAUAUCUGUGUUGUGUGGCGUCAAGCUAAGCACAAUGGCAUGGAUCUCAUAUGUGGAUAUCUUCUAUUGCUCAUUCCUUAGUGUUUCCAAUGCUGACUUCAUCCUCUUUUUCAGGUUGAGUAUCCCAAUCAUCACAUAUUGAAAGUUACAUUGGACACAUAUAUAGUUCCUGAACAAUUUCUAGUUUUUCUUUGGUGAUGUACUUUUAUCUGUUAGUUUGCAUCUCAAUUAUGGUCUUGGUUUUGUUUUCAAGUUUAUAAUUGCGAAUUUCCAUACAAUUUGCAAUAACUUUUCUUUUACAUAAUAUAUUCACCGUGCCCGAGUCCUCCAUCGACGGAAGACUGCGCAGGAUGGACUGAUCAACGAUGUGGUGGUUGCUACACCAGUCCGGUACCUCCACAAGGAGAAGGAGGAGUUCAGUUGAGUCAAGGCUACGUUUCAAAGCUAAUCAUUUUUUCCAAACAUCUGUGUGGACUAGAUUAAUCAGAGGACGAGUGACACUGCCAUGCGCUACUUGCAGCUGCUGCCUUUUCUCCCUCAAGCAUGGGAAUCGCUGGUGUGCCUACGUGAACCCACACCACAGUUAAAUAAAAAAAUUGGACGGGGAGAGCAAACUUGGUACACUAAAGGGCAACCUGGUGCAUGUAGCUCCCGCUUGCGCAGGGUCCAGGGAAGGGUCCGACCACUAUGUAUUCUUUUUUCCUUCGACGGCUUCAGGUCAUGUGUCGGUCAUUCAUGUUUGGUGGUUUCUGAUUGUACUUCAGAAGAAAAAAAUUAGUGACUGCCAUAUCCUACAUAUGCGUGUACAUAAUACCAAAAGAUGUAACAUACUCAUUUUGUUUUUAGGUAUGCAGGUAUUUUGUAAAUAUUAUAUCUAAAUGUGAUCUAGAUUGUAACAACUUUUGUGAGCAUCUAAAUGUUCCAGUUGUCAUUACAAGCUUUCAGCC
rnacentral:rRNA from 1 species